AACGAACGCUGGCGGCGUGCUUAACACAUGCAAGUCGAACGCGAAAGGGGACUUCGGCCCUGAGUAAAGUGGCGCACGGGUGAGUAACGCGUAGAUAACCUGUCUUCAUGUCUGGAAUAAUACGCCGAAAGGGGUACUAAUACCGGAUAUUCUUGCUUUUCAUAAGUUAUGCAAGCAAAGGUGGCCUCUGCAUAUGCUACUGCAUGAAGAGGGGUCUGCGUACCAUUAGCUAGUAGGUGGGGUAAUGGCCUACCUAGGCGACGAUGGUUAGCGGGUCUGAGAGGAUGAUCCGCCACACUGGCACUGGAACACGGGCCAGACUCCUACGGGAGGCAGCAGUGAGGAAUAUUGCGCAAUGGGGGAAACCCUGACGCAGCGACGCCGCGUGAGUGAGGAAGGCCUUCGGGUCGUAAAGCUCUGUCAAGAGGAAAGAAGUGUACAAUGGCUAAUACCUGUUGUAUUUGACGGUACCUCUAAAGGAAGCACCGGCUAACUCCGUGCCAGCCGCCGC
rnacentral:rRNA from 1 species